GAUGAACGCUGGCGGCGUGCCUAAUACAUGCAAGUCGAGCGAACAGACGAGGAGCUUGCUCCUUUGACGUUAGCGGCGGACGGGUGAGUAACACGUGGAUAACCUACCUAUAAGACUGGGAUAACUUCGGGAAACCGGAGCUAAUACCGGAUAACAUGUUGAACCGCAUGGUUCAACAGUGAAAGACGGUCUUGCUGUCACUUAUAGAUGGAUCCGCGCCGCAUUAGCUAGUUGGUAAGGUAACGGCUUACCAAGGCAACGAUGCGUAGCCGACCUGAGAGGGUGAUCGGCCACACUGGAACUGAGGCACGGUCCAGACUCCUACGGGAGGCAGCAGUAGGGAAUCUUCCGCAAUGGGCGAAAGCCUGACGGAGCAACGCCGCGUGAGUGAAGAAGGUCUUCGGAUCGUAAAACUCUGUUAUUAGGGAAGAACAAAUGUGUAAGUAACUAUGCACGUCUUGACGGUACCUAAUCAGAAAGCCACGGCUAACUACGUG
rnacentral:rRNA from 1 species